AGAGGAAGCGGGAGGCGACUAGUGUGACUCUCACACCUUUAUGAACCAAACGCUUUGACAGUUGAAGCAUAGGUUUAUCAACGGAAGAGAAGAAAAA